rnacentral:rRNA from 1 species
UUGACCUCGGAUCAGGUAGGAAUACCCGCUGAACUUAAGCAUAUCAAUAAGCGGAGGAAAAGAAACCAACAGGGAUUACCCUAGUA